rnacentral:rRNA from 1 species
AUUGAACGCUGGCGGCAGGCCUAACACAUGCAAGUCGAACGGUAACAGGGAUCAGCUUGCUGAUUCGCUGACGAGUGGCGGACGGGUGAGUAAUGUCUGGGAAACUGCCUGAUGGAGGGGGAUAACUACUGGAAACGGUAGCUAAUACCGCAUAACGUCGCAAGACCAAAGAGGGGGACCUUCGGGCCUCUUGCCAUCGGAUGUGCCCAGAUGGGAUUAGCUAGUAGGUGGGGUAACGGCUCACCUAGGCGACGAUCCCUAGCUGGUCUGAGAGGAUGACCCGCCACACUGGAACUGAGACCCCGUCCAGACCCCUCAGGGGGCCAGCAGGGGGGAAUAUUGCACAAUGGGCGAAAGCCUGAUGCAGCCAUGCCGCGUAUGAAGAAGGCCUUCGGGUUGUAAAGUACUUUCCGCGGGGGGGAAGGGAGUAAAGUUAAACCCUUUGCUCAUUGCCGUUACCCGCAAAAGAAGCCCCGGCCAACUCCGU